UACGUAAGUGGCAAGCGUUGUCCGGAAUUAUUGGGCGUAAAGCGCGCGCAGGCGGUCCUUUAAGUCUGAUGUGAAAUCCCCCGGCUUAACCUGGGAACUGCGUCUGAUACUGGGAGGCUUGAGUAUGGGAGAGGGAUGUAGAAUUCCAGGUGUAGCGGUGAAAUGCGUAGAUAUCUGGAGGAAUACCGGUGGCGAAGGCGGCAUCCGGGACCAUAACUGACGCUGAGGCGCGAAAGCUAGGGGAGCAAACGGG
rnacentral:rRNA from 1 species